UGAAACCGUGUGCUUACAAGUAGUCAGAGCCCGUUAAUGGGUGAUGGCGUGCCUUUUGUAGAAUGAACCGGCGAGUUACGAUUUGAUGCAAGGUUAAGCAGUAAAUGUGGAGCCGUAGCGAAAGCGAGUCUGAAUAGGGCGUUUAGUAUUUGGUCGUAGACCCGAAACCAGGUGAUCUACCCUUGGUCAGGUUGAAGUUCAGGUAACACUGAAUGGAGGACCGAACCGACUUACGUUGAAAAGUGAGCGGAUGAACUGAGGGUAGCGGAGAAAUUCCAAUCGAACCUGGAGAUAGCUGGUUCUCUCCGAAAUAGCUUUAGGGCUAGCCUCAAGUGAUGAUUAUUGGAGGUAGAGCACUGUUUGGACGAGGGGCCCCUCUCGGGUUACCGAAUUCAGACAAACUCCGAAUGCCAAUUAAUUUAACUUGGGAGUCAGAACAUGGGUGAUAAGGUCCGUGUUCGAAAGGGAAACAGCCCAGACCACCAGCUAAGGUCCCAAAAUAUAUGUUAAGUGGAAAAGGAUGUGGCGUUGCCCAGACAACUAGGAUGUUGGCUUAGAAGCAGCCAUCAUUUAAAGAGUGCGUAAUAGCUCACUAGUCGAGUGACACUGCGCCGAAAAUGUACCGGGGCUAAACAUAUUACCGAAGCUGUGGAUUGUCCUUUGGACAAUGGUAGGAGAGCGUUCUAAGGGCGUUGAAGCAUGAUCGUAAGGACAUGUGGAGCGCUUAGAAGUGAGAAUGCCGGUGUGAGUAGCGAAAGACGGGUGAGAAUCCCGUCCACCGAUUGACUAAGGUU
rnacentral:rRNA from 1 species